UACGAAGGGGGCUAGGCGUUGCUCGGAAUCACUGGGCGUAAAGCGCACGUAGGCGGCUUAGCAAGUCGGAUGUGAAAUCCCUCGGCUCAACCAAGGAAGUGCAUCCGAAACUGCUGAGCUUGAGUACUUAAGAGGAUCGCGGAAUUCCCGGUGUAGAGGUGAAAUUCGUAGAUAUCGGUGAGGAACACCAGUGGCGAAAGGCGGCGAUC
rnacentral:rRNA from 1 species